GUGCUUUCUUUGACAGCACCUAUACUAAAAUUGGAACAAUACAGAGAAGAUUAGCUUGGCUACAGCGCAAGUAUGACACGCAAAUUUAUGAAGCAUUUCAUAUUUUU